rnacentral:rRNA from 1 species
GCUCAGGACGAACGCUGGCGGUAUGCUUAACACAUGCAAGUCGAACGAGAAGUCUUUUAUUGACCCUUCGGGGGAUAUAAGAGACAGACAGUGGCGAACGGGUGAGUAACGCGUGGGCAACCUACCUAUCGGAGCGGGAUAGCCUCGAGAAAUCGGGAGUAAAACCGCAUAACACGGAUAUAUCGCAUGAUGAAUCCGUCAAAACUCCGGUGCCGAUAGAUGGGCCCGCGUCUGAUUAGCUAGUUGGUAAGGUAAGGGCUUACCAAGGCAACGAUCAGUAGCCGGUCUGAGAGGGCGAACGGCCACACUGGAACUGAGACACGGUCCAGACUCCUACGGGAGGCAGCAGUGGGGAAUAUUGCGCAAUGGGGGCAACCCUGACGCAGCAAUACCGCGUGAGUGAAGAAGGUUUUCGGAUCGUAAAGCUCUGUUAUUGGGGAAGAAGCAGUGACGGUACCCAAUGAGGAAGUCCCGGCUAACUACGUGCCAGCAGCCGCGGUAAUACGUAGGGGACGAGCGUUGUCCGGAAUCACUGGGCGUAAAGGGCGCGUAGGCGGUUUUAUAAGUCAGAUGUGAAAGGUACCGGCUCAACCGGUGACGUGCAUUUGAAACUGUAAGACUUGAGUACUGAAGAGGCAAGCGGAAUUCCUAGUGUAGCGGUGAAAUGCGUAGAUAUUAGGAAGAACACCGGUGGCGAAGGCGGCUUGCUGGGCAGAUACUGACGCUGAGGUGCGAAAGCGUGGGGAGCGAACAGG